AUAUGAUAUGAUAAAACCAACUGAUCUUGUUAGAUUUUCGUUUAAUUGAAUUUUCAAGUGAUAAUCCAAUGCUUGACUGAUGGUUGUGAAUAUGUUGUUUGUGAUUUGAAAGCCUACUUAUCUUGAUAGAUUUACGAACUAAUUCUAACAUCUGAAGGCAUGAUUCAUUUUGCAAUAAAAGAAUUUAAAUGAAUUCUUGUAAAAUUAUGGAAGAUUUCAACUUUUGAUUCAAAUUUUAAUGUGGAAUGAUAUUAAGUGUAAUUACUAUUUUAUAAUUCUAAUUUGUGUUAUACUUUAAAAUGCAACAAAAUAUUAAGUAUCUCAUAUAUAUAUAUAUAUAUAUAUAUAUAUAUAUAUAUAUAUAUAUGUAUAUGUAUAUAAAUUACUGUCUUCUUCCUUUACAUGAACUGAACAAGUUCUUCUAUAGCUUUAGUUUGCUAAAUACAUAGCUUUAUCCCUGGGAUUUAAGCCAGUGAAUACUUGAGCUAAAAUAAUGAGUUACUGAAUAUUUGAACUUAUGAAAAGCAGCACAAUUAAAUGCAAAUUAGUCAUGUUAUUGAUGAAGAAAGUAAAAAAAGUUCCAAAUUAUUACAAGUGUUGUUAGAGGCGCGAGGCGAGUCAAAGAGGCCCUUGCCUGGCUUUGCCUUUUCGAAACAACAGGCAUAUCAGUAUUUGUUUUUGUUUUCUUUUGCUUUUUAAACAUCGAGUCCUAAACUAUAGUGUCUAUUUCCACAUCAGCUGCUGGAGAACUGAAUUUCAGGUACAUUUCCCUUAGUUUUUUCUUCGUUCCACUCUCUCCUCUCAUCUUCUUUUCUCACUGCUGGCACAGCAAACCCAGCUGAGUUUUUUUUUUAAUCUUCUUCCUUGCCCUCUCUCCUCUUUCUCUCCUCUUAUUCUCUUCGUAUCGUCUCUUAUUCUCACUGCUGGUGCAGAAACAUCCAGCCUGUUUUCCCCUAUUUUUUGUUUCAUUUUUACUUCUCUAUUUUAAGGUGUACACACACGCACACUCUCUCUCUCUCUGGUGGCCCACUCUCAGCUUGGCUCGCCUCUCCUCUCGCUUGGGGCCAUAGGGUACCUGUCACCUUGCACUAUGUUUGGUUGGAAGUUUUAGAAUGUUUGGUUGGAAGUUUUAGAAUGUUAAGAGAUGGUUUUAAAAGUAAUCUUCAUGUUUGGGAGGAUCCUUUUUAAGAAAGGUAAGGUUUUUGGAGAUUUCAAAACCUCCAAAAAUGUCUUUUUUUUUUUUUGGGUCCACCAAAUUGGAGUGUUAGGAAGGUUAUGAUACUUCACUUUUUAUUACUUUGCUUUACUUCCAAUCCAAACACACUUUUAUUGUUGCCUCUCCUUUAAUAGCACUCAUUUGUCUUAAAUUUUGUUGAAUGUGAUCCAAGCUUUCAUAAAAUGAAAAAGUUAUCCUCAAUGAGACGGAAAGAACUUUUGUUGUUCAUAAGAUUUAUUGUCAAGUGCCAUGAUUGUUCGAUUUCUGAUGCUACCUGGAUUUCUAAAGAGACAUUUCAAACUUUGGAUUCUUCUCUCAUGGAUUCUUAUGUGCAGUUCAACUCUCUGGAAUCAAGCUCUUCUCGACCAAGUGGAGUGCUGGUUUAAUUUUUUUUUUCUUAUUUUGGGAUUCCCAACCUUAGUACUAGUGGGACUAGUUAUUAUUUCUAUAAAUACCCGAGUCAUCUAGAUAGCUGGUAUUUAGUAGAGCUUAUUAUGAUAUUAUUAUGACAAUUGAAAAUUAAAAUAAAAUUAUUAACCUUGUUUGUAGUGUAUUCACUCAUUUGCAUUACGGAAUGUGUACAAUUGUCUCCUUGGUAGAAUAAUUUGAAACACUCGUGAGAUUUAAACUAUUAUUUUCUAGCAUUCUGGUUUUUUUUUUUUU